rnacentral:piRNA from 1 species
UUGAUAAACUGUUAAAAUGCA